CAAUUAUCAUGAUGGUCAAAGCUCAUGGGAAUUGUAGGCUUUUUUGUCCUGCAGUUUUCGAGAGUUU
rfam:Streptococcus suis 05ZYH33, complete genome.